CAGGAUUCCAUGGUUCAGCACAUAUCCAGCCCAGAGGGCAAAGCCAGCCUCCUCUUUUGACAAGUACUUGUCAUGAAGAGGGAGAAACAACAUGGAGGAGGGGAAAAAUUUUGACACUCAUCUCCUGUGCCUGCAAUUCAUAACUCAAUCUUGUUCAAUUGCUCUCUCUUUUGAAUAGAGUCUGGCAAUAGGGUGAAAUAACCAAGAACUCUACUACACCCCCUCAGAAGAACCAGAGGUAUCAGCUACCAUAUUUGUCUGUAUAUCCAAUAUUCCAGCCUCAACACCUUUCCUUGAAAAUCUAGAGGUCAUCAAUAAAAUGAAAAGCCAUUUCAUUCUAUUGGUGAAAACAGAAGCUUUUCUGCAGCAUAUCAAGAGUCUGGCAAAGCUCUCAACUAGAUUAUACUAUAAAGAAUAUGAAUAGCCAACAAUUACGGAGUACUUAUUAGAAGUCAAGACUCUUCUGAGUAGUUUGCUUGGAUUAUCUCAUGCAAUCUCAAUAUUGGAUUUAGCCAAGGAAUAUCAUCUUGCUUGGUCAUCAGCAUGUAACUGAUGCAUCGAUACUUCUCAGCCAUAUUUAGCUAAUCUCACAUGUUCACACCUACUGAUCUCUAAAGGCCAGCUAGUCGACCAGAACUGAUUCUCAACUUAUCAGUAAUCAUGCAAAGUUUAUAGAGGUGACAUGUUACCAAACGAUGCAGUGAAGUCCCUGUACGAUCUUCCCUCCGUCCUCUAGGAAAGCUGCCAGGCACUGGCUUCACUUUGAUGAAUAGAAGCAGCUGGUAUCUCAAGAAUGGCUAUUAAUCUACUCAUAAGAUGAAAGUAAGUGGCAAAGCUGAGCAAGGCUUUGUGAUUAGCGAUUCAAGCGCUGUUUACCUAAGAAUAAAAGAUCUUUGAG
rnacentral:lncRNA from 1 species